rnacentral:misc_RNA from 1 species
GAUGAAGAACGCAGCAAAAUGCGAUAAGUAAUGUGAAUUGCAGAAUUCAGUGAAUCAUCGAAUCUUUGAACGCACAUUGCGCCCGCUGGUAUUCCGGCGGGCAUGCCUGUUCGAGCGUCAUUUCAACCCUCAAGCCCCCGGGUUUGGUGUUGGGGAUCGGCUCUGCCCUUCUGGGCGGUGCCGCCCCCGAAAUACAUUGGCGGUCUCGCUGCAGCCUCCAUUGCGUAGUAGCUAACACCUCGCAACUGGAACGCGGCGCGGCCAUGCCGUUAAACCCCCAACUUCUGAAUGUUGACCUCGGAUCAGGUAGGAAUACCCGCUGAACUUAAGCAUAUCAAUAAGCGGAGGA